UACGGUAGGGGGCAAGCGUUGUCCGGAUUUAUUGGGCGUAAAGCGCGUGUAGGCGGCCAGGUAGGUCCGUUGUGAAACUCGAGGCUCAACCGUCGAGACCGUCGACGGAAACCAUCUGGCUAGAGUCCGGAAGAGGAGAGUGGAAGUUCCCGGUGUAGCGGUGAAAUGCGCAGAUAUCGGGAAGAACACCCGUGGCGAAGGCGGUUCUCUGGGAC
rnacentral:rRNA from 1 species